rnacentral:rRNA from 1 species
AUUGAACGCUAGCGGGAUGCUUUACUCAUGCAAGUCGAACGGCAGCGCGGACUUCGGUCUGGCGGCGAGUGGCGAACGGGUGAGUAAUGUAUCAGAACGUGCCCAGUAGCGGGGGAUAACUACGCGAAAGCGUAGCUAAUACCGCAUACGCCCUACGGGGGAAAGCAGGGGAUCGUAAGACCUUGCACUAUUGGAGCGGCCGAUAUCGGAUUAGCUAGUUGGUGAGGUAACGGCUCACCAAGGCGACGAUCCGUAGCUGGUUUGAGAGGACGACCAGCCACACUGGGACUGAGACACGGCCCAGACUCCUACGGGAGGCAGCAGUGGGGAAUUUUGGACAAUGGGGGCAACCCUGAUCCAGCCAUCCCGCGUGUGCGAUGAAGGCCUUCGGGUUGUAAAGCACUUUUGGCAGGAAAGAAACGUCGCGGGCUAAUACCCCGUGGAACUGACGGUACCUGCAGAAUAAGCACCGGCUAACUACGUG